rnacentral:rRNA from 1 species
CCUACGGGUGGCAGCAGUGGGGAAUAUUGCACAAUGGGGGGAACCCUGAUGCAGCGACGCCGCGUGAGUGAAGAAGUAUUUCGGUAUGUAAAGCUCUAUCAGCCGGGAAGAAAAUGACAGUACCUGACUAAGAAGCCCCGGCUAACUACGUGCCAGCAGCCGCGGUAAUAAGUAGGGGGCAAGCGUUAUCCGGAUUUACUGGGUGUAAAGGGAGCGCAGACGGCUGUGCAAGUCUGGAGUGAAAGGCGGGGGCCCAACCCCCGGACUGCUCUGGAAACUGUAAAGCUGGAGUGCAGGAGAGGUAAGCGGAAUUCCUAGUGUAGCGGUGAAAUGCGGAGAUAUUAGGAGGAACACCAGUGGCGAAGGCGGCUUACUGGACUGCAACUGACGUUGAGGCUCGAAAGCGUGGGGAGCAAACAGGAUUAGAUACCCCGGUAGUC